rnacentral:rRNA from 1 species
CGGGGUGCAGCAGGCGCGAAAACUUUACAAUGCUGGAAACAGCGAUAGGGGGACUUUGAGUGCCAGGAUACAAUCUUGGCUGUCGUAAUGCCUAAAAAGCAUUGCAUAGCAAGGGCCGGGCAAGACCGGUGCCAGCCGCCGCGGUAACACCGGCGGCUCGAGUGGUAACCGCUAUUAUUGGGUCUAAAGGGUCUGUAGCCGGCUGGAUAAGUCUCUUGGGAAAUCCGACAGCUUAACUGUCGGGCUUUCAGGAGAUACUGUCCGGCUCGAGACCGGGAGAGGUGAGAGGUACUUCAUGGGUAGGGGUGAAAUCUUGUAAUCCUUGAAGGACCACCAGUGGCGAAGGCGUCUCACCAGAACGGAUCUGACGGCAAGGGACGAAAGCUAGGGGCACGAACCGGAUUAGAUACCCGGGUAGUCCUAGCCGUAAACGAUACUCGCUAGGUGUCAGCCACGGUGCGACCGUGGUUGGUGCCGUAGGGAAGCCGUGAAGCGAGCCACCUGGGAAGUACGGCCGCAAGGGUGAAACUUAAGGGAAUUGGC